GACGAACGCUGGCGGCGUGCUUAACACAUGCAAGUCGAACGGAAAGGCCCUGCUCUUGUGGGGUGCUCGAGUGGCGAACGGGUGAGUAACACGUGAGUAACCUGCCCUUGACUUUGGGAUAACUUCAGGAAACUGGGGCUAAUACCGGAUAGGAGCUCCUGCUGCAUGGUGGGGGUUGGAAAGUUUCGGCGGUUGGGGAUGGACUCGCGGCUUAUCAGCUUGUUGGUGGGGUAGUGGCUUACCAAGGCUUUGACGGGUAGCCGGCCUGAGAGGGUGACCGGCCACAUUGGGACUGAGGUACGGCCCAGACUCCAACGGGAGGCAGCGGUGGGGAGUAUUGCACAAUGGGCGGAAGCCUGAUGCAGCAACGCCGGGUGCGGGAUGACGGCCUUCGGGUUGUAAACCGCUUUCGCCUGUGACGAGGCGUGAGUGACGGUAAUGGGUAAAGAAGCACCGGCUAACUACGUG
rnacentral:rRNA from 1 species